rnacentral:rRNA from 1 species
GCCUACGGGGGGCAGCAGUGAGGAAUAUUGGUCAAUGGACGAGAGUCUGAACCAGCCAAGUAGCGUGAAGGAUGACUGCCCUAUGGGUUGUAAACUUCUUUUAUAUGGGAAUAAAACAGGGUAUGCAUACCCUCUUGUAUGUACCAUAUGAAUAAGGAUCGGCUAACUCCGUGCCAGCAGCCGCGGUAAUACGGAGGAUGCGAGCGUUAUCCGGAUUUAUUGGGUUUAAAGGGUGCGUAGGCGGAAUGCCAAGUCAGCGGUAAAAUCGCGGGGCUCAACCGCGCUCCGCCGUUGAAACUGUCGUU